rnacentral:rRNA from 1 species
GACGAACCGUGCAAACGUUGUUCGGAAUCACUGGGCUUAAAGGGCGCGUAGGCGGGUCGGCUAGUCUGUGGUGAAAUCCCCGGCUUAACCGGGGAAUUGCCGUGGAUACUGCCGGCCUCGAGGAGGGUAGGGGCAUCUGGAACGAGCGGUGGAGCGGUGAAAUGCGUUGAUAUCGCUCGGAACUCCGGUGGCGAAGGCGAGGUGCUGGACCCUUUCUGACGCUGGAGGCGCGGAAAGCCAGGGGAGCAAACGGG